ensembl:lncRNA
AGUAGAAGCACCCUUUUGAUCUAACACAGCCAUGAGUCUUUUUGGGAAAGAUGCAACAAGUUUUUCACACCUGGAUUUGGGGAUCCUCUGCCAUUCCUCCUUGCAAAUCCUCUCCAGUUCUGUCAGGUUGGAUGGUAAACGUUGGUGGACAGCCAUUUUCAGGUCUCUCCAGAGAUGCUCAAUUGGGUUUAAGUCAGGGCUCUGGCUGGGCCAUUCAAGAACAGUCACAGAGUUGUUGUGAAGCCACUCACUUUCUACAACUUUCUCCCAUCUCCCGACUGCAUCUCUGGAGCUCAGCCACAGUGAUCUUUGGGUUCUUCUUUACCUCUCUCACCAAGGCUCUUCUCCCCCGAUAGCUCAGUUUGGCCAGACGGCCAGCUCUAGCAAGGGUUCUGGUCGUCCCAAAUGUCUUCCAUUUAAGGAUUAUGGAGGCCACUGUGCUCUUAGGAACCUUAAGUGCAGCAGAAAUGUUUUUGUAACCUUGGCCAGAUCUGUGCCUUGCCACAAUUCUGUCUCUGAGCUCUUCAGGCAGUUCCUUUGACCUCAUGAUUCUCAUUUGCUCUGACAUGCACUGUGAGCUGUAAGGUCUUAUAUAGACAUGUGUGUGGCUUUCCAAAUCAAGUCCAAUCAGUAUAAUCAAACACAGCUGGACUCAAAUGACGGUGUAGAACCAUCUCAAGGAUGAUCAGAAGAAAUGGACAGCACCUGAGUUAAAUAUAUGAGUGUCACAGCAAAGGGUCUGAAUACUUAGGACCAUGUGAUAUUUCAAAAUGUCAACAAUUCUGUAUUUUUCUGUCAAUAUGGGGUGCUGUGUGUACAUUAAUGAGGAAAAAAUGAACUUAAAUGAUUUUAGCAAAUGGCUGCAAUAUAACAAAGAGUGAAAAAUUUAAGGGGGUCUGAAUACUUUUCAUACCCAAUGUAUUUAACAAUGUUAACUCACUCACUCAUAAUAGUCUAUUUAGAAUUGCAUUCUAUUUCUUUAGUCAUAGUGAAAUGAUACUUUGAAGCUAAACUACCAAAUCAUUGUCUUUAUGAAUGAGUCAUUGACUGAUUCAGUAGAACGAUUCCCCGAAAAUAAUUGCACACCUUAGAACAUUCGUUAGUCAAUUAGAUUCAAACAUUCAACGGCCCCGUAGUAUAAAUGCCAAUAAAGAACCUUCGUUGUUUAGAGUGUUUUAAAGGGUUACUCCGUCGCAAAAUGAAAAUUUUGUCAUUAAUCACUUACCCCCAUGUCGUUCCAAACCCGCAAAAGCUUCGUUCGUCUUCGGAACACAAUUUAAGAUAUUUUGGAUGAAUACUGGGAUGCUUGUGACUGUCCCAUAGACUGCCAAGUAAAUAACAGUGUCAAGGUCCAGGAAAGUAUGAAAGACAUCAGAAUAGUCCAUCUGUCAUCAGUGAUUAAACUGUAACGUUAUGAAGCAACGAGAAUACUUUUUGUACACGAAGAAAACAAAAAUAACGACUUUAUUCAACAGUUCCUCUCCUCUGUGUCUCUCCAAAUCACCGUAGUGCCAUUUUGACAAAUCUGAGCAGUACGCAGGCGGCGUACGCUCUUCUGUGUCAGCAGCGCUGCACUGAUGCGCUGUUUUCUUUCAAACCAAAGCGUAAAUACACAUAAAAAAUGUGUCAUUGUGUCAUGGCUGACACAGAAGAGAGUACGCCAUCUGCGUACUGCUCAGAUUUGUCAAAAUGGCACUACGGUGAUUUGGAGAGACACAGAGGAGAGGAAUUGUUGAAUAAAGUCGUUAUUUUGUUUUCUUCGUGUACAAAAAGUAUUGUUGUCGCUUCAUAACGUUACGGUUGAAUCACUGAUGGCAGAUGGACUAUUCUGACGAUUCUUUUCAUAUUUUCCUGGACUUGAUUCUGAAAAGUUGGAUAAAGGGCCACAGCUACGGUGUGUAGAUGUUAGAAAAUAAGGUGCAGGUCUCUGGUAGAAGUCUGUACUGUGAUAAUAGCUCUCUCUUUUGCCUUGCACUCCCAUUUUCUGCUUUCUUCUCAGAAUCUCCAGCCCUCUGUCAAACUCCAUUCAGGUUUCCUUCCACUUCAGCCUUCCUCCUCCUGCAGAGGAUUUAUUUUUUUAUUUUUUUUGCAGUCAUGCUGCACUGUAUUUUUCUCAAAUCCUCCAUGACUGUCUUUCCAAAAUACAUGAAUAACAGUCACUAGCUACUUUAGCAGUUUUAAUAACGAUAUAUGUAUGCAUGCACUACUAUUCAAAAGUUUAGGGUCGGUAAGAUUUUUUAAUGGUUUUGAAAGAAGCCUCUUAUGCUCAUCAAGACUCAAACACAGGAAAGACAGCAAUAUUGUGAAAUAUUAUUACAAUUUAAAAUAACUGUUUUAUAUUUUAUUUUUAAAUAAAAUGUAUUCCCUUGAUGUGCCAGUCUUCAGUGUCACAUAAUCCUUUAGAAAACAUUCUAAAAUGCUGAUUUGAUCAGUGUUGAAAACUGAUGCACUUUUUAAUAUUCUUUGAUGAAUAGAAAAUUCAAAGGAACAGAUUUUAAUAGUUUUUUUAAACAAUGUAAAAGUCUCUAGAAAAGUAUUAAUUUCUUAAUAAAACAUCCAACUAACUUUUGAACUGUAGUGUAAAU